GCCGGGCCAUAUGUUGAGUCGAACUCCUACAAAUACCACAAAUGCUCGUCAUAUCUACUCUAAGGAGUACUAAUAACCUCGAUGCAUAUGAAUUAUAUCAGGUCUGAUCCACAUAAACAAGCUGCCAAUACAAGAAAUAGCAUCAAUUCCACAAGCACAGAGUGGGUUUGUAGUACAAAUACACAAGCUCAGAAUUUGCUAUGAACUGACCCCCUAAUUUAGAAAAUGCAUAGAGAAAUACUAGAUCCUUCUUGUAUCCUGAUUUUUUCAAACUAAGUUUCUUCCUAUAUUACUACUGAUUUUUUAUUCAAAAAGUUGAUUACCAUAGGAAGCAUUCAUGUUGCUGAAUUGAGAACUGAUUGCUAGGGCUUUUAAUGAUAUCAUCAUAGAAUGUAAAUGUAUUCUGUUACCAUCACACAUCUCAAAUAUCACCACCUUCCUUUUCUAUA